ensembl:lncRNA
GGGAAAGGCUCAGCGUAUGGCUUUCUCAGUAAACGGUACAAUCAUGUGUCGCAGUUGAAGAAGCAGAACUACACUGAAGACAAUCGAACACAAGGGAUCAUGGAAAAAAGUCACUGGGACCUGAAAAGGAUUCGCUUUGAACGAAGGCGUCUCGCUAGCCUAGAUGACUUUGUGCAGAUAUAUCAGAGGAAACAUGAUGCUCUUCUCCGAGAAUAUGGCCAUGUAGGCAAAAAAAGGAGGAAGUCUUACCGAGUGGAGACCGAGAAGUGGAAGAAAAGAAGUAGAAAACGAAAAGGCUUCUAUGUAACUGCUCUGAUGGGAAAACGAGUCAAACAGGAUCAUCAAGAAGAACCACCACACUCAGAUGUGCCCACAG